rnacentral:rRNA from 1 species
UACGGAGGAUCCAAGCGUUAUCCGGAUUUAUUGGGUUUAAAGGGUGCGUAGGUGGCUUUUUAAGUCAGGGGUGAAAGACGGUAGCUUAACUAUCGCAGUGCCUUUGAUACUGAAGAGCUUGAAUGAACUAGAGGUAGGCGGAAUGUGACAAGUAGCGGUGAAAUGCAUAGAUAUUGUCAAGAACACCAAUUGCGAAGGCAGCUUACUAAAUUAUAACUGACGCUGAGGCACGAAAGUGUGGGCAUCAAACAGG